rnacentral:rRNA from 1 species
ACCAACCUGCCCUUCCUGUACGAGAGCGCCGCUGCUGCCGAACCAACCUGCCCUCGAUUCGGCCAGAUCCCUAACCCCCGAUCCGAUUCAUGGACACCAGACGGUCCCUCUUGCUCCUCUAGUCCGAUUCCCGCAAACCGCUGCUUAAUUUCCCCCUCGGAACGGCGCCCAGAUCUCGCCGGAGUCCGCCGCCGCCGGAAGCUCUUCCGCCGGCCGAAAUCGUCGCCACCGCGGGGAAGCGCCGUACCGAGCACAUCGAGCUCGCCCCGACGAAGACCCCACUGCCCGAGCUCCAGCCACCGCUGCCCGAGGGAGCUACCUUCACCACCGACGACCCCAUCAUCCUCACUGUUGAACUCCGUGUCCGCCAGUCAACUCUACUUCGCCGGAGUACAACCGGAGGAGUGCCGCCGCGGCGCCGCCCACGCCCGAACUUGCCGCCAUCGUUUUCUUCAAGCUCACGGUGAGCACGUGCGCCCAGAA